rnacentral:rRNA from 1 species
UACGAAGGGGGCUAGCGUUGUUCGGAAUUACUGGGCGUAAAGCGCACGUAGGCGGAUAUUUAAGUCAGGGGUGAAAUCCCAGAGCUCAACUCUGGAACUGCCUUUGAUACUGGGUAUCUUGAGUAUGGAAGAGGUGAGUGGAAUUCCGAGUGUAGAGGUGAAAUUCGUAGAUAUUCGGAGGAACACCAGUGGCGAAGGCGGCUCACUGGUCCAUUACUGACGCUGAGGUGCGAAAGCGUGGGAGCAAACAGG